rnacentral:rRNA from 1 species
UACGUAGGGGGCAAGCGUUGUCCGGAAUUAUUGGGCGUAAAGAGCGCGUAGGCGGUCCGGUAAGUCGGUUGUGAAAGUCGGGGGCUCAACCGAGGAACUGCAUCCGAUACUAGCCGGGCUUGAAUCCGGGAGAGGGAUGUGGAAUUCCAGGUGUAGCGGUGAAAUGCGUAGAUAUCUGGAGGAACACCGGUGGCGAAGGCGGCAUCCUGGACCGGUAUUGACGCUGAGGCGCGAAAGCUAGGGGAGCAAACGGG